GAGGACAAGUAUGCAAGCCUAGCUGAAGAUGAUGAGCACCAUGGCUGGAGGCUUUUUCGGAGGUUUAAGAUGGUUCUGCAUAGCAAUAAGCACUUGAAAGAAGACGUUACGGUAGAGGACUUUUGUGGAAAACGGAUGACGGCUUUUCCAUUGUUUGUCAUGUCGAUUCAAUACCUGAGAGAACACCUUCUAAAGGCAGUUACCAUGCAAAAGAUAGGAAUUGAAGAGACGGACGUUUUGUACGUGUUGACCGUCCCGGCAAUAUGGGAUGACAAUGCCAAGAAGUUUAUAAGGGAUGCAGCAGUUGCAGCUGAUAUCGCCCUGUACGACUCAAGCUGGCCUUGGAGCCGGAAUGUGCCUCGGUCUGGUGCGAAACAUUAGGUACGGACGUGAAGGGCGCUGUUGCUAUUGCAGGAUCACAGUACAUGGUUGUCGAUCUUGGAGGAGGAACAGCAGACAUAUCCGUUCACGAAUGAAAAUCGGACGGAAACUUGAAGGAAAUACACAAAACAAGCGUUGGUCCUUGGGGAGGCAUCUUUGUGGAUGAAAAUUAUAUGCAAAUGUUGGGUCGGUUGUAUGGGGAAGAAGCUCUCAUUGACCUGCGAAACACAGAAAUGAACGAUUAUUUUGAUAUCACUCGUGAGUCUGAGCACAAGAAAAGAUCUUUUGAUACAGAAAAUACAAAGCAUAUUAUCGUUCGUUUGUCCGUCUCAUUGCGUACCUUGCUGAUAAACAUUCGAAACAAUGUUUAGAGGACAGAAUGGCCGCUUUAGGAAUUCAGGAAAAUGCCAUAACACCAAAGGGUAGGGACUAGCUAAGGAUUGAUGGGACAAUUAUCAAAGAAUUGUUUAAAAAUCCAAUCGAUCUGCUGAUUCAGCAUAUAAAGUCACUUUUAGCAGAACCAAACAUGAAACGUGUGCAAACCAUUAUUCUGGUCGGCGGUUUCGGUGAAAGGUCUUAAGUUCAGGAGAGAAUAAGAAAUGAAAUAUCUGGCGUGAUCCUGAUCGUCCCUGCGGAUGCGGGCCUCGCAGUGCUGAAAGGUGCCGUGAGAUUUGGACACAAUCCCGCCAUUAUUUCCUCAAGGAUUAUGAAAUUCACUUAUGGGACUAGAGCUUAUGACGAAGAGAAAAAAAAUAGGAGGAAUGGAAAGUGUUUGGUGCCUAAUUGUUUCAAGGUGUUCGUACGGAUGAACGAGGAGGUACGGGAAGACCAUCAGGUGAUCAGGUAUGGUUCUGCUAAUGAUAGAAUAUCCCUCACACCGGUCUACAGGAUGACUCAGGAGAAUCCAAUGUAUACAACAGACCCCGAAUGUGAACUGCUCGGGACUAUUGAAUUUGAAUGUAGAAAGGAUAUUCCAGUUAAAGAGCAAAUGUUCGAAAAUACUUUCGCGUUCGGGGAUACGGAAAUGGUGGUGAAGACAAAAAGCAUGGCCACUGGAAAAGAAGUGCUUAUGGCAUUUGAGUGUUUCAAAUAAGUAAUUUGUCAUUUGCAUUAAAUUGCUUACGCCUGUAAAAUACCUUUGUUCUUAUACGGCUCACAAACUAUUCGACUCUUUUUGAAGUAUAUGCAUGUACAAACCUCAUUUAGGUUCUAAUUAUUAUUCUAAUAAUUUUUGAAGCAAAUUUAUACAAAAUAGCAACUUAUGUUUAGCUUUUUGAUGCGUUAUCAAAAUAUA